CAGAAAAAAAAGGAAUAAAAAUUUCGCAAAGCAAAAACAAGAAAAACAACAGCAGUAAUAGCAGCAGUAACAGUAACAGUAGCAGCAAUAAUAACAGCACCAACGACUGAUUCGUCGAGACUACAUCGUAAAUUCUAAACAACGUUCUUCCAUAUGUGUCGACUGUGUCCUUGGAUGAAAGAAAAGAUGACUGAAUACUUGGACGUCUAUGCGAAAGAAGGAAAGAAAGAGAAAGAAGACAUGACGCAAACAUUGUAUGCUAAUAUAUACCAAUUGGGGCCUAUAUAUGUUGCCGUAUGUUCGUAUUAGUGAACGAGAGAAGAAGUCGGGUUUGCGUGUGGUGUACCUCUGGUGUAUCCAUUUUCGUAGCGGAUGAACUCUGCGAGCUCUAUCGAUCGGCGCUCCGGUAUCGUAAGUAAGAGCGCGAAGGACUUGCGCCGAUCGAACGACUAAAUUAUUUUCCUCUUCUUUCCUGGUCUUAAAGUCUUCAGUAAAAGUGGCCACCGACAGUUAUGGAACAUCCCUCUAUCCAACUCGGAGGCACACGAAGGCACACAGAGAGAAAACAGAGAGACGAGGGACGCUCUCGGUAUGGAUCAAUAUUACAGUAAGGAUGAACGGAUGGAUAGUUACACGAGUUUACGAUCGAAAUAAAAGUGAAGAGAAUGAAGUAACUCGACGGAGGAAAAUCGCAGAAACCACUCGUCAACGUCGGGGAUUCUGGCGACGAAGAUUAAUGGAUGGCGAGUUAACCGUGAAAAGAGGUGCUGCCGUAUCGAAGAAUAAGGACAUGAAUGGACUAGGGUGAAAUAAAUCGUUGCCGUCUUGUUGCAUGAGAGAGAGAGAGAGACAAAGUUUGCGUCAAGUUAGAGUUCACGAGUGGUCCCUACUGUUUAAUUUCUCCUUAUCUCCGACGUAGAUAUGAGAGAGAGAGAGAGAGAGAGAGAGAGAGAAAAGAAAGAAACGGAAUCGAAUAAAUUACAUAUACUGUUGAGUUCGACGAUGCAAAAAAAAGCCCUUAAUCAUUUUUCCUAGCCCUUCCUUUCUUCCUUCCUUCCUUCCUUCCUUCCUUCCUUUCUUUCUUUUUUAUUCGCUCUUUCCUUUCCAAAUUCGUCAUGAUUCACGUGUGACAUUCGUCACUACGCAACCCAGGAAUUUAUAAAAAAUUGCGAACGUCUGCGAAGGAUAUAAUACUGUUACGAAGGGUCGAAAUUGGAUCGGAUUAUGUUAACCUAGCGAAAGAGAAAACGAUAGUUUUUUUCCUUUUCUGUUUUUUGGCAUAAGACGUACAACCGACCUUUUUUACUUUUUUUUUCCCCAUUCUAAUAAUUCGUCAGAACUAU